CAGUGCUGAUGCUUUUGGAAAGCUCAUAUUCAAGCUGGGGAGACAAACAACAUACAAAAGUUCUCAUCAUGAUACUUUAAGGAUGAGGACAGCUGAUGUGGCUGGCCUGAAAAAUAAGUAGAGAUGCGGUUUCGCCAUGUUGGCCAGGCUGGUCUUGAAGUCCCGACCUCAGGUGAUUCACCUACCUCAGCUUCCCGACGUACUGGGUUUACAGGCAUGAGCCACCGUUCCCGGCCAAGGAGGGCUCUGAGAGAUUUCAUUUCUGUCCUGCUGAUGAAGUCUACUUUCAUUCAGGGCCUGCUGUGGAAGACCAGCCCCCAAAGUUGCUGAACAGAAGACUUUUGAGAGUCAGCAGAAAUCUUCCACUUUGCAUGGUUCUCUUGAUGUGAAAUCAUCUAUAUAGCCCCAGAAUUGGAAAAGAAAAAAAAUAAAAAAAUAGAAGGAAACUG
rnacentral:antisense_RNA from 1 species